AACGAACGCUGGCGGCAGGCCUAACACAUGCAAGUCGAACGCUUCAGCAAUGAAGAGUGGCAGACGGGUGAGUAACGCGUGGGAACCUUCCCAGUGGUAUGGAAUAGCCCAGGGAAACUUGGGGUAAUACCGUAUAAGCCCUUCGGGGGAAAGAUUUAUCGCCAUUGGAUGGGCCCGCGUCGGAUUAGCUUGUUGGUGAGGUAAAAGCUCACCAAGGCGACGAUCCGUAGCUGGUCUGAGAGGAUGAUCAGCCACACUGGGACUGAGACACGGCCCAGACUCCUACGGGAGGCAGCAGUGGGGAAUAUUGGACAAUGGGCGCAAGCCUGAUCCAGCCAUGCCGCGUGAGUGACGAAGGCCUUAGGGUUGUAAAGCUCUUUUGGCGGGGACGAUAAUGACGGUACCCGCAGAAUAAGCUCCGGCUAACUUCGUG
rnacentral:rRNA from 1 species